GGGUUGUGAGGUUAAGCGACUAAGCGUACACGGUGGAUGCCCUGGCAGUCAGAGGCGAUGAAGGACGUGCUAAUCUGCAGAAAGCGUCGGUAAGGUGAUAUGAACCGUUAUAACCGGCGAUGUCCGAAUGGGGAAACCCAGUGCAAUUCGUUGCACUAUCGUUAACUGAAUACAUAGGUUAACGAGGCG
rnacentral:rRNA from 1 species